GGACUACAGGGGUAUCUAAUCCCAUUCGCUACCCACGCUCUCGUCCUAGCAGUGUCAGGAGGCACCCAGAGACUUGCCUUCGCUAUUGGUGUUCCAAACGAUAUCAACGCAUUUCACUACUACACCGUUUGUUCCAGUCUCCUCUUUGCCCCUCUAGUCCUGAAGUUUCAAAGGACAGUCACAAAGUUGAGCUUUGUGAUUUCACCUCUGACUUUCAAAACCACCGAUCGGUACGCUUUACGCCCAAUAAUUCCGGAUAACGCUUGAGGUCUCUGUAUUACCGCGGCGGCUGGCAC
rnacentral:rRNA from 1 species